CGUGCUCAUGAAGUGACUCGUGUUUCAGUUGUGGUGCCUCGAAGUAUAGCGUCCUGUAUGCUGAUGAGGCUCCCUCCUGCCAUUCAUUGCGCUCUGGCAGUGUUCGCAGGUCAGGUUGUACGGACGUGCACUUCACUCCAGGUCACUUACUUUCGGGUGCUGCUGUAGGAUCGCUGAUAUUCAUGCAGCGCCAUUAGCUCAUAAUAUAAUGAUAAUUGUUUCUGUUUGUUGAGUAAGUCCCUCGAAAUAUGUUUUAUGCAGACUGAAAAUUCGUGGCUAAGAACUCGUGCAUUUCUUGAUUCUUCCGUAUUUUCCUUCGUGAUUCACUCGCUUGAACGUCUUUGAUGGAAUUAUUUUAACAAGAUGAGAAGAAUGCACAUUGUGAAGUUCCCAUUUUCGUACACGUAAAUCCCAGCUUCAGUUUCUCUCGAUGGUCGUAUUCAUUUCCCUGGUUAAUUUUAAGACGAAAAUAAUUGUGAUUUGUUCCUCGCUAACAAAUGAACUGUGCUUUGAUAGUAGAGUCCUUCGCUGCAUUUUCAGGGUUCGACUGAUUCUCCCCGCACCCAAAAUUCGGAGAGGAUGCUGGAAUCUCUCUCUCUGGUUCGCUAGCCCCGGGCGGUGCAGGUAGCCGCCUGCCUCGGCGCUCUGCCUGCCGCGUUGUAAGCACGGCAGUCGUGCGUUAGACGUCAGUGAGCUGUGUUUCGGACAGUGGCGUCUGCAGAUCCCACGAACUUCGACCUUGGGCUGAAUUGAACUCGCGUUCUUGAAACAAGGAAGUCGACAAGAUUACAGUUUUAAAAAUUCGUACUGUCUGGAACAGCUGUUAUCAUUGACUUCGCAGACCUGCCGUCUGAAAUCUUAAUGAGACCAGUGCGGAGCAGCAGUCAUGCCGGUGGAGGGCGCUGCUGAAGCCUCGGGAGGCCCAUCCUCGUCGUCCGCUGCCCUGGACGAACCGCUGUCACUGUCCUUGCCAGCGCGCAGCUCUUCCUCGUCGUCGUCGGCGCGCGGGGGCCCCGGGUUCGAGCUGUACCACCACCACCUCGUGGGCGGCCUGCACCGCGAGACUUCCGCCUUUGUGCCAGUGGUGCCUCAG